rnacentral:rRNA from 1 species
UACGGAGGGAGCAAGCGUUACUCGGAUUUAUUGGGCGUAAAGAGCUCGUAGGCGGCUCGUUGCGUCGGCUGUGAAAACCCGCAGCUCAACUGUGGGCUUGCAGCUGAUACGGGCGGGCUGGAGUUCGGUAGGGGAGACUGGAAUUCCUGGUGUAGCGGUGAAAUGCGCAGAUAUCAGGAGGAACACCGGUGGCGAAGGCGGGUCUCUGGGCCGAUACUGACGCUGAGGCGCGAAAGCCAGGGGAGCAAACGGG